rnacentral:rRNA from 1 species
AUUGAACGCUGGCGGCAGGCCUAACACAUGCAAGUCGAACGGUAACAGGGAUCAGCUUGCUGAUUCGCUGACGAGGGGCGGACGGGUGAGACAUGUCUGGGAAACAGCUUGAUGGAUGGGGAUAACUACUGGAAACGGUAGCUAAUACCGCAUAACGUUGCAAGACCAAAGAGGGGGACUUUCGGGCCUCUUUCCAUCGGAUUAUCCCAGGUGGGAUUAGCUAGUAGGUGGGGUAACGGCUCACCUAGGCGAAGAUCCCUAGUUGGCCUGAGAGGUUGACCAGCCACACUGGAACUGAGACACGGUCCAGACUCCUACGGGAGGCAGCAGUAGGGAAUCUUCCACAAUGGGCGAAAGCCUGAUGCAGCCACGCCGCGUGUAUGAUGAAGGUCUUCGGGUCGUAAAGCACUGUUAGUAGGGAGGAACAGAGGUGAGUGUAAACCUUCGCUUAUUGACGUUACCUGAUCAGAAAGCCACGGCUAACUACGUG